rnacentral:misc_RNA from 1 species
CCGCGAAGCAAAGACGACACUCCACUUGCCGUUUCAGAGAGAGUAUCGUUUUGGAUGCCAACGUAGAAGUCAACAUUUGCAGAGGAGAACAAAGUAGAGGAAGGAGGAGGAGAAGAGAAGCGAAGAAGUAGAAGAUGUUUAGAGUUGCAGCGAGAAGGAUCUCUUCCCUCUGUUUCACGCACCCGUCGUGGUGGCCCAACCAGGCUGCCUCGGCAAUCGUGUCGCGGAAUCCGAUCAAUCUCAAUGAUUCUUUCUCGUCGGUCGACUUUAAAUCCAAAGCCUUGGACGAUUACUUUGCUUUCCGGCCUUAUUUUCAUCUUCCUCACAAAGGUUUCUCAUCUGAAUCACUUACCCCAAGAAAUGAGGACAGCAUUUUUUCGGAUGUUCCAGCAACAGUGGCAGCUGUUAAGAACCCCACUUCGAAGAUAGUUUAUGAUGAGUACAACCAUGAGCGUUUCCCUCCAGGUGACCCCAGUAAGCGGGCAUUUGCUUAUUUUGUCCUUACUGGUGGUCGGUUUGUCUAUGCUUCAGUGAUCCGUCUCCUUAUCCUCAAGUUUGUGCUGAGCAUGUCUGCUAGUAAGGAUGUUCUUGCACUUGCCUCCCUUGAGGUUGAUCUCUCAGGCAUUGAGCCAGGAACCACUGUGACUGUUAAGUGGCGUGGAAAGCCAGUUUUCAUCAGGCACCGAACAGAAGAAGAUGUGAAGUUGGCAAAUAGUGUUGAGUUGGCAUCUCUUCGUGAUCCACAGCCAGAUGCAGAGAGGGUCAAGAAUCCAGAAUGGCUCAUUGUCAUAGGGGUCUGUACUCAUUUGGGUUGCAUUCCUUUGCCAAAUGCUGGUGAUUAUGGAGGCUGGUUUUGCCCAUGCCAUGGUUCACAUUACGAUAUCUCUGGUAGGAUUCGCAAGGGACCAGCACCGUACAAUCUGGAGGUGCCUACUUAUACCUUUUUGGAUGAGAACAAGUUACUGAUUGGCUGAGGUUUAUACUUCAAUGAACAAUGGUUUGUUGGUAUAAUUUUAUUAUUAUUAUUUUUAUUUGUUCAAUCAGAUAAUGUGAAAGAUUUGUUGCAUAUCUUGCUUUGUGCCCCCAGGUUAUUUGGUAUGUGUUUAUUGUUUAGGGAUGUUAUGCAGCUUGGUUAUUUUAACUGUUAAUGGUUGGAGUUGCUUUUCAUUCUGAAUAACUUGCCUUUUCUAAGCAUGAAUGCUCGAAGAAGCCUACAGGUUAUGGGAUGGUGCUGUUUAUCAGGCAUGUUUUGGUUUGCGCACCUGAUAUUCCUGUGGAAACUUCUUUGCUUUUCGAGUUGACUGUUAGUUUUACAUGUAGAGAUGUUAGAAAUAAUUUAAAG